rnacentral:lncRNA from 1 species
CGCCGGCGGCGGCGGGCCCGCCCGCGCCCCCGGGGGGCGACGGGCCCGGCCCCGAGGCAUUCCCCCGCCUUGCGAGGGCCCCGAAUCCGCCGCUCCCGCCGCGCGCCCCGCUGCCAGACUUCCGAAAAUUUGCCAAAAACUCACCGCAUGAAUUUUCUUGUCCCGCGGAUCCAAGAUGGCGACGUAUCCACCGCGGAGGCUGCUGGGAGCAAGACCUUUACCCUCUGACCCCCGCCGUGACCCCCGCCGUUCCGACUUCCCUCCAGGCGGCGGCGGCGGAAGAGGGGAGCGGCGACUGUGGACCGGACAGAGUUGGGGUUGGGUAGUCUGUUUCUCACGCGUUGGAGAGGGUACUCGGAGGGGCCCUUCAGUACCUCGCUUUCCUCCUCGCGGCCCCCACCUUCUCUCUCACCGACUCACCGGGAGGCUCGUAGCUACUCCGCAGUCGUUACAGCGAACCCCGAACCCUCCGGUGCUUGUGCGCGCACUUCCAGGGACCAGCAGCACGUCACCAUCACUUUCUGAGAACUGGAGUGACUGCCUGGGCUAUCAGCGAGACCAUCUGAAAUUACGAUGGCUUUUUUGGAAACUUCAGCAGAGUCUCUGCUUCCCAGAAAAAUAA